rnacentral:rRNA from 1 species
UACGUAGGGGGCAAGCGUUAUCCGGAAUUACUGGGUGUAAAGGGAGCGUAGACGGUAAUGUAAGUCUGGAGUGAAAGGCGGGGGCCCAACCCCCGGACUGCUCUGGAAACUAUGUUACUAGAGUGCAGGAGAGGUAAGCGGAAUUCCUAGUGUAGCGGUGAAAUGCGUAGAUAUUAGGAGGAACACCAGUGGCGAAGGCGGCUUACUGGACUGUAACUGACGUUGAGGCUCGAAAGCGUGGGGAGCAAACUGG